GCAUAUCAAUAAGCGGAGGAAAAGAAACUAACAAGGAUUCCCCUAGUAAUGGCGAAUGAAGAGGGAAAAGCUCAAAUUUUAAAUCUACCUGGUUCCCAGGUCGAAUUGUAAUUUGAAGAAACGAUAUCGGUGUUAAGGUCUGGUUCAAGUUCUUUGGAACAAGACAUCAUGGAGGGUGAGAAUCCCGUGCAUGAUCAGACCGAGAUACUUAAUAUUCGUUCUCUAAGAGUCGAGUUGUUUGGGAAUGCAGCUCAAAAUGGGUGGUAGACUUCACCUAAGGCUAAAUAUCAGUGAGAGACCGAUAGCGAACAAGUACUGUGAAGGAAAGAUGAAAAGAACUUUGAAAAGAGAGUUAAAUAGUACGUGAAAUUGUCGAAAGGGAAACGAUUGAAGUCAGUCAUGCUAGUGAAAAUUCAGUUUGGCGGAUUUUGGGUUUAGGAGUAGAGGCAGGGUCAAACCGUUUCUCUUUUGAACUUGGAAUUUGUCAGAUGCACUUUUUCUUUGGCAGGUCAGCGUCGAUUUCGGAGGUUGUAAAAUACUUGGGGUAAAGUAGCUCUGCUUCGGGAGAGUGUUAUAGACCUUGGGGGAUGCAGCCUGCGGGAUCGAGGAUGCAGCAAAUGCUUUUUGGCUUGUCGCCUGAUCUCUGGAUGUUACCUCGCUUGUAACAACAUUCUUGUUGCCGGUGAGUACUAAUGCCUAUUAGGUUAGAGCGAUCAAAAAUUUUGCUAAGGAUGCUGACGUAAUGGCUUUAAACGAC
rnacentral:rRNA from 1 species